rnacentral:rRNA from 1 species
UAGCUUCAGCGAUUGAUCGGUCGCAUUGAGUGUCGAUGAAGCACACAGCUUGCUGCGGUACUCACCACGAGCAGGCACUUGGAGUGAAGGAAUUUCGAGCGCAUAGCACAAACUGGGUCAUCAAUCGGUACGUCUAGUUCACGGUUA